CUGAUGAUGUAAAUAUGCACUGAAUAGACAUUUAGCUAAACUCUCUAGCCCUAUUGACCCAGAUAUAGCAAAUCUCUUGGUAUAAAAUAGUGAACAGCUAAUUCCAAGUGAUUGUCCACACUAAACCUUUGCACAUAUUGUGCUAAAAGCUAUCCAUUAUUAAUCCUGUGUAUAGGAAGGCUACUGGGUAAUUAGGAGACAAAGUCCCUUUCUAAACAGUGCUUAAAUCCGGCUUCUAUUCCCCAUAAAUUAAAUUAACACCCCCAAACAGUUCUAAAAUAAAAGUGCUGUGAGUUUAAAAAAUCAUGAGCCUAAUGCGUUUCGGCGCUUAAACGAGCGCCUUUCUCAAAGGCUAUCAAUGAGGACACUAACCUGAGCAUGUAUUUGUACCUGAAGUGGCAUUGUGCAGAGCCAAUCCAUGAGACAAUGGGCGGCGUUACAUUUACACGCCCCCAAGUCAGAGUGGUUACUAACUUCUGUCAUUCAUCCGUAAAUGCACCAAUCUGAUUAAAGUGGGUGGAGCUUAGUGCCGAUCACGGAUAUAUGUGUUUAUUGUGUUGCCAUGGACACAAUCUCGGCAGUGUAUACCAUAUCACGUUCAGGAGGAGAUGUCAUCGACAACAAAACAAGAAAUAUACAUUCUCACUGAUCACAGCAGGCUCCUAAUGAAGAAAUAAAGAUGUCACUUUCUUGUCAAAUCCCCCAGUGUUAAACAAUAUAUGGUAUUUUAGAUUACAAUGCAAAGGUUCAUCAGCCCUAAGGAUACAGUAGCCAUAGUUAUAACCGACAGGAAUAGGUAUGACAUGUCUUAUUUUGAGUCUAGAUUAUAAAUAUCUUAAAUUAAGAAGAUCUAAUUAGGUUAGAGUCACAAUGUUAAGUGGCUAUAACAGUUUAAACAAUGUCAACACACACUUUCUUAAAUUAAGGAGAACAAUACUCCAAACAGGUGUAAAUGUAGACAGAUAUAGACUAGCGCAAUGAAUACAUAUGAUCCAUGUAAUGGUAUAUUGUCCUCAAUGGUCCAUGAUUAUGAUACAAAUCCUAAAUCAGUAUAGGUAGUAACAAGUUAACUGAUAUAUACUCAUUAGGGUAUGGUCUAAGAUUCGAUAAAAGGGGUAAAAGUAAAGCCUUCAUUGAGGCCAUUUGGAGAUAAAGUGUCCAACUUGUGAAUUAGCUGUUCACUAUUUUAUACCAAGAGAUUUGCUAUAUCUGGAUCAAUAGGGCUAGAGGUUAGCUAAAUGUCUAUUCAGUGCAUAUUUACAUUAUCAGUUCUAGGAC